rnacentral:lncRNA from 10 species
CGACGGCUCUCGGUCUCCUCCACGCCGAGCCUCGGAGAGCAGGGGCUUUGCUUUUCCGGCUGAGGUGUUCAAUAAACAUCUCUUAAACAAAGGAGUGCGCAAGUGAGAUAAUAUAAGGGGGAUGCCCAACUAUACAACAAAGAGUUGCCAAACAUUUCUCUGGAGCAAAUAAAUGGUGUGAUGGAUGGAACUAACUGGAUCACCAACCUGUGAGAGAUGGCUGGUUCACUGGCCUUGGCCUCCUCGGGCCAUGACAUUAAUUCACUGGCAGCUCUACGGAAAGACCUGUGUGGCUAGGAACUAAGGCCUCCUGUCAAUAGUCCUGUGUAUGAGUCAUCUUGGAAGUAGAUUGCCCAGCUGCCGUCAAGCCUUCAGAAGACUGUGGUCCUCACUGACAUCUUGCCUGCAACCUCAUGAGAGUUCCUGAGCUAGACCACCCAGUUAAGUUACUGCUGGAUUCCUGACCACAGAAACUGUGAGCUGAUGUUACGCUUCAAUCUACUGUCUGCAUUCUUAACUCUGUCUCAGCAUCUGAUUCCCAGAGGACCUAACUGAUGGUGGUUCCAGGAAUGCUCAAAGAAAACAGGUGCUCCACCCUCCACCCUGUUCUAUGGCCCUGGGCGUGACUUGCUCUUGCCCCUUGCCUUCUGUUUGGAUCCUGCCAAUGAGGACUCCUAGCAGGAGAUGGGGGCUCUCAUAUUUAACUGAAAGGCUCAGCUCCACGCAGCGUUUCUGUCUCCAGCCCACACAGCACGAUGAGAUAAAGACUAGAGGCUGCUCACUGCUGAGAGUGGACCAUCCAGCUCAUUUGGUCACAUAAUUUCCAGCCAGCCACCUUAUGGGCAAGAUUUUGGCUCACCUGUAAGCUAUUAGCUGGAAAAUACUGGCUUCAUGAAAUGGCUUGGAAGAUUUGGAGGCAACCUAAAUGUCCAUCAACAGAUGAAUGGAUAAAGAACAACAGGGUGACUAAAGUCAAUAAUAAUUUAAUUAUACAUUUAAAAAUAACUAAAAGAGUGUAAUUGGAUUGUUUGUAACACAAAAGAUAAAUGUUUGAGGGAAUGAAUACAUGAAGCGAUUAUUUGCAUGAUGUGAUUAUUUGCAUUGCAGGCCUGUAACAAAAUAUCUUAUGUACCCCAUAAAUAUACACACCUACUAUGUACCCACAAAAAUUAAAAAUUUUUAAAAAAUGACUUGGGAAGUUUGUCUCCUCUAUUUCCUGAAGAAGUUUGGGAAGGAUUGGUAUUAUUUCUUCUUUAAAUGUUUGGUAGAAUACAUCAGUGUAGCUAUUUGGCUGGAGUUUUACUUGUGGGACAGUUUUGAUGUAAGAAUUCAAUUUCUUUAACAGAUACAGAACUACUCUGGUUAUUCCUUCUUUUUGAGUGAGCUUUGAUAGUUUGUGGAUUAAAUGGCAAAUAUUCAUUUUCUUUGUCAGAUGUAUUGGCAUAAAGUUGCUUAUAUAACCCCUUAUUAUCCUUUAAAUAACUAUAUGAUCUGUAGUAAUGACUCCUCUUUCAUUCUUGAUAUUGGCAAUUUGUGUUUUUCUUAAUCAGUAAGACUGACUAGACGUUUAUCAGUUUUUAAAAUUGAUCUUAAGAAAGUGUCUGAUUUUGUUUUUUUCAAUUUCUACGUUUUUCUGUUUCAUUGAUUUCUGCUCUUAUCCUUAUUUACUUUAUUCUAAUUAUUUGGGUUAAAUUUACUCUUAUUUUCUAGUUGAUUUAGUUGGAGAUUUAAAUUACCUGAGACCUUCCUUCCUAAUACAGACAUUUAGUGCUAUAAAUUUUCUUCUAAGCACUGUUUUAUCUCUAUCCCCAAAAUUUUGUGAUGCUGUGUUUUCAUUUUCCUUCAUCUCAAAAUACAUAUAUAUAUUUUAGAUUUUUAGGUUCGUGAGUACAUGUGCACAUUUAUUAUAUAGGUAAAUUGCAUGUCACAAGGGUUUGGUGUACAGACUAUUUCAUCACCCAGGUGAUAAACCUGAUACGUAGUUUUUCAGUCCUCACCCUCCUCCCAUCCUCCAUCCUCAAGGAGGCCCCAAUGUCUAUUGCUCUCUUCUUUGUGCCCAUGUGUACUUAAUGGUUAGCUUCCAUUUAUAAGUGAGAACAUGUGGCAUUUGGUUUUCUGUUCUUGUGUUAGUUAGUUUAGGAUAAUGGUCUCCAGUUCCACCCAUGCUGCUGCAAAGGACAUGAUCUCUUUUAUGACAUGGUGUCCCUUGUAAUUUCUUUUUUAACACAAGCAGUUGUUGAGAAAAGUUUUAGUUGUUUUAAAAAUAUUGAGUUUUUAAAAGAUAUCUUUCUG